rnacentral:tRNA from 1 species
GGACCUUUAGCUCAGCUGGUUAGAGCAGACGGCUCAUAACCGUCCGGUCGUAGGUUCGAUUCCUACAUGGUCCA